CUGAAUUUCUGCAUGAGUUGCACACAUGUGAACUGCUUUAAAUGCAGAUUGGCUGCUGAAGAGCCUUUUUCCAGCCUGAGCUAGAUGCCUCCAAAGCACGUCCCAUCUGGUGGGAGACUGGUGCAGCACUCAGAUCUGCUCUAAGGAGGACUAUCACUAUCUCCUUCUUCCUGAACAUCAAGUAUACAUAAAAAGUGAUGAAAGUAAUGAGGAACCAUUAAAAAAAUAUAUAUCCUGUCACUGUUUUUCCAAUGGACGUCUCAGGUUGUCCUGGAUUAUUUCAGGAGAGAUUAAGACAUCUAAAAGUGGAAACUUGAUUUCCUGGCUUCUAAAGUAAGAUGCUUUUCUUCAAACUAGCUGAAUAUGGUAAAUCUAUAAAAUUCUGGAAUUGUGAAGUGGG
rnacentral:lncRNA from 1 species